ACGGGGAUGCCAUUUUUGAGGCGGUUAGUUUACUAAGCGCCAAGAUGCCGGCAUCUUAGUGGCGGACGGGUGAGUAACGCGUGGGUAACCUGCCUUAUACAGGGGGAUAACACUUAGAAAUAGGUGCUAAUACCGCAUAAGCGCACGGGGCUGCAUGGCCCAGUGUGAAAAACUCCGGUGGUAUAAGAUGGACCCGCGUCUGAUUAGCUUGUUGGCGGGGUAACGGCCCACCAAGGCGACGAUCAGUAGCCGGCCUGAGAGGGUGGACGGCCACAUUGGGACUGAGACACGGCCCAAACUCCUACGGGAGGCAGCAGUGGGGAAUAUUGGACAAUGGGGGGAACCCUGAUCCAGCGACGCCGCGUGAGUGAAGAAGUAUUUCGGUAUGUAAAGCUCUAUCAGCAGGGAAGAAAGAAAUGACGGUACCUGACUAAGAAGCCCCGGCUAACUACGUGCCAGCAGCCGCGGUAAUACGUAGGGGGCAAGCGUUAUCCG
rnacentral:rRNA from 1 species